GCGCUCCGGUACCGUUGGUUGGCUGCUUUCACCGGAUCGCCGGCUCCAGCUCCGCGGUCGCGGUGGCCCGGCCCGGAUGGUGUUGCGAGCGCGCAGCCCCACUGGCCUCCAUCCCUGGUGGCUUCACUCAGAGUCGUUAUCAGCCUCGACCGCCCCGCGGCACAGCCCCCCCUGCCUCCGUGGGUCUCUCUGGGAGCGCUGGCCGCUGGGGUCACCUGUAGAUUCCUGUGUACGUGGUCAUUCCACGCUCGCCGUGCGUGCUCGCAGAGAGCCUCUGGCCCCAGAAGGUCGAGCAAGACCUGACAGCCCUCCAGCAGACGUGCGCUCUUUUUUCUCCCUGGGAUGGAGAGUCCGGUGUGUCCCAGCGCCAUCUCUUCCCCCAACAGGUUUCUGCAAACGAAGCGCUCCUUGACUGGGAAGAUGGGGCUCUGUUGCCAUCUGGUGGCCACUGGCUUGACUACAGUGAUGGACAAAUUCCACUUGAUGCCUCAUCCAGGUCUCAAUGAAGCUCAGAGAGAGGUCUUUGAAGGUCCCGGAAUCUAAAUCUUCUGAUUGUCAAGACCUUAUUCACCCAGAGGUUUUCUGGCCCUUACUUGAAUGUCUCCUGUGGUGGAGAGUUCACUGCCUAACCAGACACCCAAGUCCAUUCUCAGACAUCUCUCAUUUUGAGUAAAUUCUUUAUAGAGAAUAAAAUAUUGCUCCCUUGAAUUGUC